AAAGAUAUAGCUCAAGUGGUAGAGCACGUGCUUAGCACUCACGAGGUCCUGGGUUCAAUCCCCAGUGCCUCCU
rnacentral:tRNA from 1 species